GUACUUACCUGGAUGGGGUCAAUGGAUGAUCAAGAAGGUCCAUGGCCUAGGUUAGUGACCUCCAUUGCACUUGGGAGGGGUGCUCGCCUAAGAUCUACCCAAGUGGUGGAGUCUAAAUCAUAAUUUGUGACAGGGGGACUUGCGUUCGCGCAGUCCCCAC
rnacentral:snRNA from 1 species